ACAGUACAAACUGAGCAGGCGAUGCCCGAAGAGGGCGUGGGGCCGGGCCGCAGAACGUGGCAGCAGAUGAAUGAACGCAUCUGUGGGACAGUU
ncrna:unclassified sequences NiCo riboswitch